ensembl:lncRNA novel transcript
GCCUCGCCCCCUGCGAUAGUGGUCCCAAGAGCCAGGGGGGGAAGAGGGGUUGGCUCUGAGUCCCCGCCUCGCGGGGGGUGCCUCCCCCCACUGCGAUGGGAGUCCCAAGAGCCAGGGGACAGAAAGACAACAGGUACAAAGCCCUAAGGAUUAUAAAGGUAUGCUGCUUACCAUCAUCUUAGUGACCAAGGCAGCGAAGCUGUUUCUGUACCUUGGAACAGUCUUCCCUGACAAGCCAGAGAACAGUGAUAAAGCCACCAGCCUUGGGAUCAGGACUGAAAAGGCAAGAGUGAUGGAGAUUUCUCCUGCGCUAAGCCAAGAGAAGGUUUCAGCACUUCAGACAGCUCCCACCGAAGUAGCCGCGCUCCCAGCUGCUUGCAGAUGUUGAAAAGGAAAGCCUCGGUUUGUCUUGAGGUUGUCAGCAGGUGCAAGACACGUAAUAAAAUGCAAUGUGUUCCUAA